AUGGCUGCUCUACGAGGAGGGAAGGCCGCUGGACAUCGUGGACGCCAGUGUCAGGGACUACCCGGAGGCAGAGGUGCUCAGAUACGUCAAGGGAGGCCUGGCGUGCACGCAGGCGGCGCCCGACGGGAGGCCCACGAUGCGGCAGGUGGUGAAGAUGCUGUCGCGGCCCGCCGCGUUCCGCGAGCUGGAGAUGCACUUGACCGACCACGUCCUGGCUUGAGCUUGUCACCUCUUUCCUCCAUGGCAACAAGUAGUACGAAUUGCACCUCGGCCACUUACAGUGAAAUCGUGCCCAGGAACAUUUUCAUAGAAGAUCAGUUCUAUAAUGGCAAUCAACAAAAGAGAAAAGGCUGCCUGACAAGCCUAUCAGAGAGGGGCCUUUCUAUAUAA
rnacentral:rRNA from 1 species